AUUUUUCUCAAAAAAAAUCUCAAAGCCCAAGAGAUCACCUUCAUCUUCACUUUCUCGAAAUCGCAUCUUCUUCCGUCGCCAAGAGAUCUGAUACGGCGGUGGUUAGACGCCGACUCGUCCCUUCUCUCGGACUCUCUUUUUCUGUGACCGUUACUGGAUACUCCGGUCGAAGCUCCGCUUACCCGACGUCUUUCCGUUCGAUUAAAUGCUUCUCUGUUUCUCCGGAAGCUUCAAAAGUAAGUGAUACAAAGAUAAACCAGUUCCAAUCAAUGAUGGCAUCACAAAAUUGAAAAGCAUCCUCUCGGUUGCAGAGUAUGAGAUACGGUGAUAAAUUGUGAUGGUGAAGUGUUUUUAUACAGUUGAUAUCAUCUUCAACCAGAUCUUUGUGUGUGGCUUUAUACGUGCUGUCACACAUUCCAUUUUGGUGAAGAAGAUUUGCAAGAAAGGGAAACUUGAUGGUGCUGAAGCUUUUAUCCAUGCUUUUGCUCCCAAUGAUCAUGCUGGAUGCGGUUCUGGUUUAGGCAUUUUGGUCAAAAUUUCAAGAAGCUACUAAGUUAGUUAGAUAAUAUCAAAGUGGUGGUGGUGGUGCAGAGAUGGCGGAGGAGGUGAUUGAGAGACAUAGUGAAAGUAUAAUGAAGGCUAGGUUCUUUGGUUUUGAGUUUCUUAGGUAGUUUGUUUGAUCUUGUUGUUGUAUAUUGAAGGCUAGCUUUUUUGCUAUGGUUUCAUCUUUACAUUCAGGAAGGAAUCCUAGGUAUUUAGGAAGAUUUUAUCAAAUUUUAGGAAGACCAUCAUGGAAAAUAUAAUUCAUGAAAGAUUUCAUAAAAAUUCAUGAAGACUUUCAUGAACA